UGAUUACUUUGGGGUAAUACCACUAAUUAAGUGGAGCAACCAACAGAAAGAAAUCUAGUUAUAUAAUUUCAGAGACCAUGCUCGAAUCAUUUCCUCCUUAGAGCUUUUGAAAUUCACUUUAAUGCCUAGGAAUCCAGAAGAUCCUGAAAUUCAUUAUUACCCAUACACAAACUUGUUUUGAGACCUUUUUAUUUCUUUGACAUUUGGAAGAUUCUUCAGAUACACACGACAUCUAUUAGACAGCAUCCAUCCAAGUCCCAAUUUUUACUAAAAAUGUUAACUGAAAAACUAGCUUCAAGAUAUUUUACUGGCAUGAGCCAAAAAAAAAAAGAAAGAA
rnacentral:misc_RNA from 1 species